GAUGCGCCCCUUGUUUCAGGUGUCCCUGGCCGCCGUGCCAGGGGUUAAACGGGAAGCCGGUGCCUCGCUCCACGCGAGAAGUCCGGCGCUGCCCCCGCAACGGUAAGCGAGCAAGGCAUUCGACAGACCACUGUGCCGCCGGCAUGGGAAGGUGGAUGCCCGCCCCUCUCGCAAGCCCGGAGACCGGCCUGCAACCUCUGUUUGGC
rnacentral:ncRNA from 2 species